AGCUCGUCGGGGUCCACACCCCGGGUGACCAGGAGGUAGUCGCGGAUGCAGAAGGCAUGACGGCCCUC
rnacentral:sRNA from 1 species